AAAGUUUUAAAUGAAACUUAGGUUACAUUUACAUUGCUACGUUUCGUUUUUUAAGCAGAGUUUAGAGCCAAACGCGAUCUCCGUGCACACAAGUGUUUUUAUCUCCAGUAGAAGAAGUAAUCUCUGUUUAAACUAACACGCC